rnacentral:lncRNA from 1 species
CACAGAGACAAAUUCUCUCUCUUCUAGUACAAGAUUACAGUAAAAUCAACUCAAAAGGUCUGAAUUGUUGUGAUUUAGCUGAUUUUUGAUUUUACCACGGUAAUUUACCAAAACAUAGUGUGUCCGUUACUAUGGCAACCACUCAUAUUUCCCACCCAAAAUUACUUUUUGAGCAGCAUUUAUGUAUUGCUUCUACUAGGC